rnacentral:rRNA from 1 species
CAUGGCUCAGGACGAACGCUGGCGGCGUGCCUAAUACAUGCAAGUAGGACGCACAGCCUAUACCGUAGCUUGCUACACCAUAGGCUGUGAGUUGCGAACGGGUGAGUAACGCGUAGGUAACCUGCCUAUUAGAGGGGGAUAACUAUUGGAAACGAUAGCUAAUACCGCAUAACAGUAUGUAACACAUGUUAGAUGCUUGAAAGAUGCAAUUGCAUCGCUAGUAGAUGGACCUGCGUUGUAUUAGCUAGUAGGUAGGGUAAUGGCCUACCUAGGCAACGAUACAUAGCCGACCUGAGAGGGUGAUCGGCCACACUGGGACUGAGACACGGCCCAGACUCCUACGG